UGGCACGCACACCGGUCUCCUAGGGGACUGGCGCCUGGCCCUGCUUUUCAUCCUCUCAGGAGAUCACGUGUGGACACUGAGGCCCUUCCUCGAGCUCUUUAACCAAACCCAACCUCCCCAAUUCGCCGCCUUCCCCGCUCCCACAACCACACGUUCCCGUGUGAGGGCUUAUUGCCUCCAGCCAGCCAGCGUCCUUCGCCCCCACAUUCACGAGGUUUGGAGCCGGCCUCACCCGCGGAGGCGGACACCGCCCACCCGCGCGUGCGCACUACGCAGUCAUCCUGCGACCUCCAGAAUCCACCGGGGUGCAGCGAGGCUGUGGAAAGUCCCACCCAGAACGUGAGUUUUAACUUCUAGUCAUGGCGAAUGAUCGCAGGAGAGCACAGACUGGACCCUGCUACGAUCUCUCUUGGAGUGGAUCAGACUGAUGAUCACCAACAACCAACUCAUUCCCGGAUAAGGAAGAAGAGAGUGUCACCUACUUCAGUGUGGUUUCAACCCUACUUCUGCAUCUUAAAGACACUGUAUGGUUUCAGCAGUAGUGCCCCUGUUCAUUAGUCCCCCUGAUGUUUUCAUUCCUCAUCUCAUCUUUUUCUUAGCAGCAUUCAAUGAAUCCUUCAUUCUAGAAACACUCUAUAUCUUUGGUUUUCAUGAGACCAUUCUCACCUUGUUUUGUCCUGUGACUUUUUUGAAAAAAACAAAAACAAAAAACCCUUUUUUUCUUUUUAAAUUCUGGUAAAAAACACAAUGAAAAUUUGCUAUCUUAACCAUGUUGAAAUGUGCAGUUAGUAAAGUACAUUCACAUUGUGGUGCAAGCCAUCACUACCAUCCAUCACUAGAACCCUUUUCAUCUUGCAGAUCUGAAACUCUACCCAUUAAACGACUUCCCAUCUUCCCAUCCCCACAGCUCCUAGCAACCAACAUUCUACUUUCUCUAUCAGUUUGACUACUCUAGGUACCUCAUAUGAGUAGAAUCAUACAGCAUUUAUCCUUCUCUGCCUGGCUUAUUUCACUUGUAUAAUGUCCUCAAGGUUCAUUCAUGUUGUAGCAUGCAUCAGAACUUCCUCCCCUUUUAAAGGCUGGAUAAUAUUUCAUGGUAUGUUUAGAUCACAUUCUGUUUAUCCAUUCAUCCAUCAGUGAACACUUGUGCUCCUUCCAACUUUGGGCUGUUGGGUGUCCUGCCACUGUUGCUCCUAGUGCUCAAUCUCGUUUAUUCCCUCCUAAUCAAGUGUACAACGUUGGACACUGUGCAGGAUGAUGCCACUUCAUCUUGGAUGCUAAUCUGCCAUGUUGACUUCUGAUUAACCCCAGGCCCAGGAAUGCCUCAAGAUUUCUACUUUACUUACUGUUGCUUGUGUAAGCCAAGACAACCUUGAUGUUAUCAUAAACAUGUACUUACCUAAGUCCUGUCCUUUGGCAAAUUAUGGGCUAUGAGACACAGCAUUCUUGCCUUUCCCUGAGGGGUCAAUUUCAGCGAUCCUACACAUUCCUUCUGAAGCACUUAUGCUCUUUCUAUAUGGUAUGUAAGCUCUCGGUCUGGGGAGUAACAGUGCAGAGAUCUACCUGUCUUGUUGCCACAUGUUUCUAAACUUUCCAAUAAAUCACCUUCUACUGACAAA
ensembl:lncRNA ZNF667-AS1 ZNF667 antisense RNA 1 (head to head)